UACGAAGGGGGGCUAGCGUUGUUCGGAAUCACUGGGCGUAAAGCGCACGUAGGCGGAUUUGUCAGUCAGGGGUGAAAUCCCGGGGCUCAACCUCGGAACUGCCUUUGAUACAGCAAGUCUUGAGUUCGAGAGAGGUGGGUGGAAUUCCUAGUGUAGAGGUGAAAUUCGUAGAUAUUAGGAAGAACACCGGUGGCGAAGGCGGCCCACUGGCUCGAUACUGACGCUGAGGUGCGAAAGCGUGGGGAGCAAACAGGG
rnacentral:rRNA from 1 species